rnacentral:rRNA from 1 species
UGAGCGAACGGACGAGAAGCUUGCUUCUCUGAUGUUAGCGGCGGACGGGUGAGUAACACGUGGAUAACCUACCUAUAAGACUGGGAUAACUUCGGGAAACCGGAGCUAAUACCGGAUAAUAUUUUGAACCGCAUGGUUCAAAAGUGAAAGACGGUCUUGCUGUCACUUAUAGAUGGAUCCGCGCUGCAUUAGCUAGUUGGUAAGGUAACGGCUUACCAAGGCAACGAUGCAUAGCCGACCUGAGAGGGUGAUCGGCCACACUGGAACUGAGACACGGUCCAGACUCCUACGGGAGGCAGCAGUAGGGAAUCUUCCGCAAUGGGCGAAAGCCUGACGGAGCAACGCCGCGUGAGUGAUGAAGGUCUUCGGAUCGUAAAACUCUGUUAUUAGGGAAGAACCAAUAUGUGUAAGUAACUGUGCACAUCUUGACGGUACCUAAUCAGAAAGCCACGGCUAACUACGUGCCAGCAGCCGCGGUAAUACGUAGGUGGCAAGCGUUAUCCGGAAUUAUUGGGCGUAAAGCGCGCGUAGGCGGUUUUUUAAGUCUGAUGUGAAAAGCCCACGGCUCAACCGUGGAGGGUCAUUGGAAACUGGAAAACUUGAGUGCAGAAGAGGAAAGUGGAAUUCCAUGUGUAGCGGUGAAAUGCGCAGAGAUAUGGAGGAACACCAGUGGCGAAGGCGACUUUCUGGUCUGUAACUGACGCUGAUGUGCGAAAGCGUGGGGAUCAAACAGGAUUAGAUACCCUGGUAGUCCACGCCGUAAACGAUGAGUGCUAAGUGUUAGGGGGUUUCCGCCCCUUAGUGCUGCAGCUAACGCAUUAAGCACUCCGCCUGGGGAGUACGACCGCAAGGUUGAAACUCAUAGGAAUUGACGGGGACCCGCACAAGCGGUGGAGCAUGUGGUUUUAUUCGAAGCAACGCGAAGAACCUACCUAAAUCUGGACGUCGUUUGACAACUCUAGAGAUAGAGCUUUCCCCUUCGGGGGACGAAGGUGACAGGUGGUGCAUGCUUGUCGUCAGCUCGUGUCCUGGAAUGUUGGGAUAGUUCACACAUCAACCGCAACACCUUAGCCUAGCUGCCAUCAUAUUGUCAGGCACUCUGGAAUUACUGCCGGUGACAAACCCGAGAAAGGCGUGGAUGACGUCAAAUCAUCACUGGCCGUAUGACUCGGGCUCUACAGGGGUCUCAUUUGACAAUACAAAGGGCAGCGAAACCGCGAGGUCAAGCAAAUCCCAUAAAGUUGUUCUCAGUUCGGAUUGUAGUCUGCAACUCGACUACAUGAAGCUGGAAUCGCUAGUAAUCGUAGAUCAGCAUGCUACGGUGAAUACGUUCCCGGGUCUUGUACACACCGCCCGUCACAUCACGAGAGUUUGUAACACCCGAAGCCGGUGGAGUAACCUUUUAC